UUUUGUUUGCAGGGGGACGCUGUUGCGUUGAGAAGGUAAAACCUGACCCUUUGAACCUGUUUGGUUGAUACCAGCGUAGGGAGCAAAUGUCCUUUUUGU
rnacentral:ncRNA from 2 species